rnacentral:rRNA from 1 species
CCUACGGGAGACUGCAGUGAGGAAUAUUGGUCAAUGGGCGGAAGCCUGAACCAGCCAAGUAGCGUGCGGGAUGAAGGCCCUACGGGUCGUAAACCGCUUUUGCACGGGGAUAACACCCUCCACUUGUGGAGGUCUGCAGGUACCGUGCGAAUAAGGGCCGGCUAAUUCCGUGCCAGCAGCCGCGGUAAUACGGAGGGCCCGAGCGUUAUCCGGAUUCAUUGGGCUUAAAGGGAGCGUAGGCGGGCGUUCAAGUCAGCUGUAAAAGCGCGCGGCUCAACCGCGCCCCGCAGUUGAAACUGGACGCCUUGAGUUCACAACAGGCAGGCGGAAUUCGUGGUGUAGCGGUGAAAUGCAUAGAUAUCACGAGGAACCCCGAUUGCGAAGGCAGCCUGCCGGGGUGCGACUGACGCUGAGGCUCGAAGGUGCGGGUAUCAAACAGGAUUAGAUACCCUGGUAGUC